AGUGAACGCUGGCGGCAUGCCUAAUACAUGCAAGUCGAACGGAAACAUGAUGAGAGUGUGCCCUUGCCGGUGGCGGCUGACGGGUGGGUAACGCAUAGAUAACCUUCCACUUUUACUUGGAUAACUUCGUGAAACCACUGCUACUACCAGCGAAUAUAUUGAACCGCAUGGUUCAAUAGUGCUUGGCGGUUUUCCUGUCACUUUUAGAUGGUUCCGUGUCGCAUUAGCUAGGUGGUAAGGUAACGGCUUACCAAGGCUACGAUGCGUAGCCGACCUGAGAGGGUGAUCGGCCACACUGGAACUGAGACACGGUCCAGACUCCUACGGGAGGCAGCAGUAGGGAAUCUUGCGCAAUGGGCGAAAGCCUGACGGAGCAAUGCCGCGUGAGUGAAGAAGGUCUUCGGGUUGUAAAACCCUUUUGUUAGGAAAGAACAACUGUGUAUGAAACUCCGCCCGUUUUGACGGUACCUAAUCAGUAAGCCCCGGCUAACUACGUG
rnacentral:rRNA from 1 species